rnacentral:rRNA from 1 species
GACGAACGCUGGCGGCGUGCUUAACACAUGCAAGUCGAACGGAAAGGCCCUGCUUUUGUGGUGUGCUCGAGUGGCGAACGGGUGAGUAACACGUGAGUAACCUGCUCUUCAUUUUGGUAUAACUUCAGGAAACUUGGCUUACUAUCGUAUAGCAGCCCCCGUUGCAUUGUGGGGGUUGGAAAUUUUCGGCUGGUGCGGUUGGACUCGCGGCUUAUCAGCUUGUUGGUUGGCUAGUGGCUUACCAAGGCAGUGACGGGUCGCCGGCCUGAGAGGGUAACCGGGCACAAUACGACUGAGAUACGGCCCAGAGUCCUACGUGAGGCAGUAGUGGGGAGUAUGACACAACGAGCGGGAGCCUGAGGCAGAAACGCCGCGGGCGGGAAGACGGCCUUCGGGUUAUAAAACGCUUUCGCCUGUGACGAAGCGUGAGUGACGGUAAUGGGUGAAGAAGCACCGGCUAACUACGUG